rnacentral:rRNA from 1 species
GGGGAAUAUUGCACAAUGGGCGCAAGCCUGAUGCAGCAACGCCGCGUGAGGGAUGACGGCCUUCGGGUUGUAAACCUCUUUUAGUAGGGAAGAAGCGAAAGUGACGGUACCUGCAGAAACAGCACCGGCUAACUACGUGCCAGCAGCCGCGGUAAUACGUAGGGUGCAAGCGUUGUCCGGAAUUAUUGGGCGUAAAGAGCUCGUAGGCGGCUUGUCGCGUCUGCCGUGAAAACCCAGGGCUCAACCCUGGGCGUGCGGUGGGUACGGGCAGGCUAGAGUGCGGUAGGGGAGAUUGGAAUUCCUGGUGUAGCGGUGGAAUGCGCAGAUAUCAAGAGGAACACCGAUGGCGAAGGCAGAUCUCUGGGCCGUAACUGACGCUGAGGAGCGAAAGCAUGGGGAGCGAAC